rnacentral:misc_RNA from 1 species
GUAGACUCCAUUUGCCCAAUCUGCAAUGAGGAGAAGGAAACUGUUGAGCAUGCUUUGUUCUGGUGUAAUCAUACAAGAGCAACGAAGUUCACGAGUCCUUGUGCCUAUAAAUCUAAUCCAGUCGGAUUCUCUUCCUUCUCUUAAUGGUGGACCACAAUGAUGCAAGAAGCCAUGGCUGGAAAUGUACACCAAGAUUUUCUCAACUCCAUAGCCAUUACAAGCUGGAAUAUAUGGAAAGAGAGGAAUAGUGCAGUAGUCGACUGCUG